rnacentral:tRNA from 3 species
UGUGACAGAAUAGUGUGAUAAAUUUAAGAUUUAUUUAUAAAGUUUACCUUUCUUUAGAA